rnacentral:rRNA from 1 species
UACGGGGGGGGCAAGCGUUGUUCGGAAUUACUGGGCGUAAAGGGCUCGUAGGUGGCCAACUAAGUCAGACGUGAAAUCCCUCGGCUUAACCGGGGAACUGCGUCUGAUACUGGAUGGCUUGAGAUUGGGAGAGGGAUGCGGAAUUCCAGGUGUAGCGGUGAAAUGCGUAGAUAUCUGGAGGACCACCGGUGGCGAAGGCGGCAUCCUGGACCAACACUGACACUGAGGAGCGAAAGCCAGGGGAGCAAACGGG